AACACGUGGGCGAAUGUUUCCCGGUGGGUAGGCCCCUCUCCAUAGGAGGAUCAGGGUGGAUGGGGGAUCUCUCGUAUGUCUGCCAUUGCCCCCUCAGUCACGUGGGAACUCCUGGGAGGCAGCAAAUGCUGGGGACAGGACGUGGGCCUCGGUGGGGGUCUCUAAGCCUCCCUGGGUCCUUAGUGCACCAGUUCUGCUUCAGGACUCAGUUUCCCUAAAUGCCAGGGUUGAGCCACAUUGGAGAUUUUCAAGUGUUUAUGGCAACAGAACUCUACGCCCAGUUGAAACUCAAAGUGGUCAAAACAGAGGUGCUCUGUAGAGCUGGGGAAUGGAGACCCCAGUGACCAACAGGAGAGCCCCUGCCCAGUCCCACGAGACCUUAGCGCUCAGAGGAGCCCAGUGAGAACACUCCUCCAGGCAGGUUGCAUCUCUUGGGUUUGCAAAGAAAAAGGAUUUGCACUCAGACCCCUCACAUUAUCCCCCAAUUUAUCCUUCCUUCUUUCCCCUCCCCUCAGGGAGAGCUCUGAAAAACUUAAGGAGCUCUGUAGCCAUGACAAGUCCUUGAGAAGAGAAUUGAUGACCAAGGAGGGGCCCUCCACGUUUGCCCCCCCGGAGAUCAUCCCCCAGAGAGUGCAGGAGAAGCAGCAGCAGCAGCAGGUGAGUGUGCAGGGUGUCGUCCCCUAUCUUGGCACUUUCCUCGGUGACCUGCUGAUGCUGCACCUGGUGAUGGGUGAUUAUCUCGAGGGGAAUGAGAUCAACCUUCAGAAAAGGACUGAGGAAUAUCGAGUCAUGAGGGAGAUCCUGCUGCUCCAGGUGGCCGCAAAGAAUUACAACCUAGAGCCCGAGGAGCGAUUUGGGGCCUGGUUCCAGGACAUGGAGCUGCUUAAUGAGAAUGAUAGGCGAAGAUUUGUGAUGCAGCUUUUAAGGCUACAUCUGGGCCUCCUUCCAUCAUGUCUAUGCUGCCUACACACUAGGCUCUCCAGCAUCCCUGCACGUACUUAUGUAAUGCUGUUUCAGGAGGAAAUGUCCUGGAGGCCCCAGCCUCUGUCAGACACUCGGAUCAACUAGCUACCACCAUAGGUUUCUCUUGUUAUAAGACCAACAGUAGCUGCGACAUGGCAGAUGAUCAGGAUCUUCUGGGUUUAGAGGUUUACAACAUAAAUGAGUGGGUAAGAGGAAAAGAAAGAUGAUAGCCACGUCUUCACAGAGGAAGCAGCAUAACUGUGGGAACCAGUCCAAACCAAAUCCUGGUUUAAACAUCUCCAUCCCUAUGAGGAUGUCUAGUGACAUAUUCAAGAGGCCGGUCACUAGAAUCCCAUCCCAUCCUGGCAGUGACAGGUCUCUGGGAGGACACCUUGGACCAGCCCCACAAAGCCUACUGGUCCAAGAGACCGCAAGGACUCCAGGCCUGCAGCAGUGCAGGACAACUAGUAAGUCCUUUCAAUCUUGCCAAAGCGUUGCAAAAACUUGCACCUAGUCACACAGGUGAAUCCCUGCCAGGUGUGCUCACAGAUGGUCUGCACUCCAGGUCCCAUGCCCACUCCUGCCAGUCU